rnacentral:rRNA from 1 species
ACAGAGGUCUCAAGCGUUGUUCGGAUUCAUUGGGCGUAAAGGGUGCGUAGGUGGCGAGGCAAGUCAGAUGUGAAAUCCCGGGGCUCAACCCCGGAACUGCAUUUGAAACUGCCUUGCUCGAGUACUGGAGAGGAGACUGGAAUUUACGGUGUAGCAGUGAAAUGCGUAGAUAUCAGGAGGAACACCUGUGGUGUAGACAGCUUACUGGACCACUUCUGACGCUGAGACACGAAAGCGUGGGUAGCAAACAGGA